UCUGAAUAGUGUCAUGAAAGGAAUUAAAGAAUUGGCUGAUAAUGGAAUCCUAAUUAAAAAAAGAAGACAAGAAUGUUUGUCUCCACUAAAGGAAGAAGUAUUCUCUAUACAGUAGCUGGACGUUUGGCAACACAGUCUUGCGUAUUUUCAUCGGCUGAUAUGAUGGAAAGAAGAUAGAAAAGACAAUGGACAUUACAUUUCAUAUACAGAGUAGCAAAAACAGGUAUCACAGGAUCAUAUACAAAGCUCACUGCUAUAAGGAAGGUACUGCUCAUUUUCUUCAAUCACCAAUGCAAUUCUGUGGUUGUAAAGAUGUUUAACAAUGCACAGAUUUUUAAAGAAUGGUGAAGUCUGCAAGUGAAUAUUGUUCAGCAUACAGAGAAAGGGAGGCCAGGAAGACCAUCAAAUCCUCUGUCACCCUUGGAGAGAAGAAAUCACAGUUUCCGUAAAUUACUGCUUACAGUCUAUAUUACUCUGAGUAAAUUGCACCUUCUUUCUGUGUUAAUUUUGAGUAAUGUUCCACUUUCUUAUUGAAUGAAAUAUAUGGAAGGGGGGAGUACAACAAUAAAACUCUCAAAGUUUUCUCUAUGUAUUACAGCUAGAAAAUAUGCCACACCAGCUUCUUUACUGCACUGUAGGUAUGGUGUUUAUAAAAAGAAGUCUAAACUGAAUUGAAAAGCUCAAUUCUAGCUGCCCUUUGUAGUUACAAGAUUAAUUUCAUUACUGCUGAUACUCUGUAAAUAAAAACUAAGAGGGAUAUAAUCAUGCCCAAAGAAUUUAGUUAUUUCAAGGUCAGGCUACUAACCAUUACCAUUAAUUAGCAUAUUUCAAAUACAUGAUUCAUUCUCAGCUUUUGCAUUUGACCCAGCUAUCUGAAACCUCAGUAUUUUCACAUGAGAGGAGAAUUUUGGUUUGGCCUGGCUGGAAACUGUGGAGCUUGCUUAAAAUCCAUCCAGACCAUUCCAAGGU